AACCGGAGCGCGGAGGUGGUCACAUGUCCCCCUUUGACUGGUGAAGGCAGCGGGUACGGGCAUCUCUGCUGCAGCCUAUCAGAGGGCGGCGCGAUGACAUCAUUAUAAUUGCGGCUCAGCGUACAGCACAGACGGUGGUAAGAGGCCUGCAUCACAGCGCUGACUGCCGCAUGGAGAGAUGGCUGAAAGAAAUCAUCAUGGCGGUCUGGUCUGAAUGGAGAAGAUGA